rnacentral:tRNA from 1 species
GGAAGUGUGCCUGAAAGUUAGGGGACUCCUUGAUAGGGACAACCAUAGAGGUUCAAACCCUCUCACUUCC